GAAGGUAGAGCUCAGUGGUAGAGUGUGUGCUUAGCAUGCAUGAGGUCCUCGGUUCAAUCUCCAGUACCGCCA
rnacentral:tRNA from 1 species